UCACAGGUCUUCCGCCGGCUGGCUUAUCCAUGGUGUCGUUUUCACCGGCUCUGAAUCGUCGAAACCAUUCCUCCGCGGUUCGAAGUGAUAGAGUACCAUCCCCCAAAACACCAUUAAUCUCACGGAACGUUUCUCUGGCGGAUUUGCCUUUAACGAAGGAAAACUUUAAAAUAGCGCGAAUUUCGGCGUUAGUGAACUCCAUGUUUACACGUCUAUAACUGUUGAUAUCCAAACUAAUCAUGCAUAGCGUCGUUUUGUAGGUUAUGUCAAGACCUUUCAAAUUAUGUAUAUUAUUGCCAGAUACGAGCUCUGUAGCGCUUUGUACAUAGCCGCGAAAUUCAAAAGACAAAAAGGCGGAAGGGAGAUAUUUGCUAAACUAAUAUUUAAGCGUAUUACCGGUGGAGUUCUUAUAUGUGAUUAAAUACUUGUAUUUUUUCAUAUGUUCCUCCUAUUUAAAAACCUGCAUUAGUGCUCUUAAACUAGUGCUAUUGUGGGCCGGUACUAUUACUUUGAACAAAUUAGAGUGAAAUAAGACCUCUGUUCUGCUUUCAUUUGUUUUCAGAUCAAGAGGUAAUGAUUAAUAGAAGCAGUUUGGGGGCAUUAGUAUUACGACGCGAGAGAUGAAAUUCUUGGACCGUCGUAAGACUAACUUAAGCGAAAGCAUUUGCCAAAGAUGUUUUCAUUAAUCAAGAACGAAGUUAGAGGUUCGAAGGCGAUCAGAUACCGCACUAGUUCUAAGCAUAAACGGUGCCACCUAGCAAUUGGGUGUAGCUACUUUUAUGGCUCUCUCAGUCGCUUCCCGAGAAACCAAAGCUUUUGGGCUCCGGGGGAAGUAUGGAUGCAAAGCUGAAACUUAAAGGAAUUGACGGAAGGGCACCACCAGGAGGGGAGCCUGCGGCUUAAUUUGGAAGACUUACCAGGUCCAGGACACGGGACUACUUACAAGGUCCAAACAUAAGUGUGUAAGACAGAUUGAUAGCUCUUUCUCGAAUCUAUGGGUGGUGGUGCAUGGCCGUUCUUAGUUCGUGGAGUGAUUUGUCUGGUUAAUUCCGAUAACGAACGAUACUCAAAUAUAUUAAAUAGAUAUCUUCAGGAUUAUGGUGCUGAAGCUUAUAUAGCCAUCUUUCUUGGUGGCAGUCUAGCAAUAAUGAGAUUGAGCAAUAACAGGACUGUGAUGCCCUUAGAUGUCCUGAGCUGCACGCGCGUACAACAAAAAACAACGUGUAUUUCCUAGACCGAGAGGUCCGGGUAAACCGCUUUCAUGCUUGGGAAUGUGAACUGAAACUGUUCACAUGAACUUGGAAUUCCCAGUAAGUGUGAGUCAUUAACUCGCAUUAAUUACGUCCCUGCCCUUUGUACACACCGUAUAAAACCCUUACCUUUA
rnacentral:rRNA from 1 species